AACCUAGCACACCUGCGGUGUGUACCUGCGGAAGGAUCAUUACCGAGUUUACAAACUCCCAACCCUUUGUGAACCUUACCAUAUUGUUGCUUCGGCGGGACCGCCCCGGCGCCUUCGGGCCCGGAACCAGGCGCCCGCCGGAGGCCCCAAACUCUUAUGUCUUUAGUGGUUUUCUCCUCUGAGUGACACAUAAACAAAUAAAUAAAAACUUUUAACAAUGGAUCUCAGAUCGGAAGAGCA
rnacentral:misc_RNA from 1 species